UUGAUUAUAUACAAAUGGUACAAGUAUCAUGAAGAAGUUUAAACCGUAGAUAUAAAUGGUAGUCUAAAAAAAAUUUAUAUGUCUAAUCAAUCUUCUGCAUCCCAAACACCGAAAUGAUGCAAAGUUAAAGGCAUGUGUCUUCCAUGAUUCAUCCUGUGGAAACACCACAUAAGGUAAUAGCAAAUUAGAGUAACACUAUUUUUAGAAACAGAAGAAACAAAACAAUCAGAUUAUGUAGAACUCACAUUCAUGUAAAGAAACGAAGAAAUUACGUAAAACAAUCAAAUUAUGCACAAACCCUUCACAAAACAUCGAGAAAACAAAACCUACAAAUUAGACAAAAAAUCAAACCUAAACUAAGCCAAUUAGGGUUUAUGAUGUAAUUCAUCAUUUUGACAACACAAUAUUAUAUAAAAAUAAAACAGAAAAAAAUGUAUGAAGAACACACCUAACAAAUUUCACUUCAAUUUUUUCACACCCCAUCAUCAAAUUUACCUGCAAAACAACAGUUGAGAGAAAAAAAACUUCAAUCAAACUAAAUAAAGCUAGUUUUUUUAUCUACUACAAACUUUUUUAAAUCGCUAUUUUGCUAUCUUAGACUCAUCAAAGGGAAUAUUGAAAGGUAGAAAAUUAAGAAAAAUAGAGAUGAAGAGAAAACAAUAUCAAAUCCGAAAUAAAAAAGUGAAGAAGAAGGAUAAAAAUACGAAGGAACAAUAUAAAUGGAGAUGAGAAGAAGAAUAUGAAGGAACAAGAAAAAUGGGGAUGAGAAGAAGAAUAUGAAGAAACAAGAGAAAUGGAGAGCUAUGAAAAUGGAGAUGAGGAGAAAAAUAUGAAGGAACAAGAAAAAUGGAGAUGGAGAGUUUGUGCCGUGAAAGAAAAUCAAGAGAAAUAUGAGGAAUGUGCGUGUUGGUUAUCCUAGAAUUAGGAUUAUGAUAACUAUCUUAUUUAUUUGAUUAAUAAUUAAGAAAAAAGUUAAGAAGAUAAAUGCUCCUAAUGUAAACUAUUAAAUUAAAAAAAUGAAUAAGUAUAUAUUAGAGGCUCAUUCAUCCGCCUCUAGUAAUUAAAUUUCGUAGAUGUAGUUUUUUUUCGCCCCUAAAAAUAGUAACAUUGAUAUGAGCAUUAUUGUUUUGCCUCUAUUAGACAAAUCUAUAUUUCUACUCUUAAUAAAGAUUAAUAGGAACAAAUUCUUAUAUCCGCCCUUAAUCCGCCGUCCCUAAUAAUCACUAUUCUUGUAGCGGGUGCCACCUCCUCCAUAUAGUAGCCUGGACACCUCCAGUUCGUAACUUCAUAGACUACAAUAGUCAGCAGGAACCCACCACCUAUGCAUAUUUUCCACCUGGCCCACCUCCGUGCAUAUCCAGACACUUCUUCCACCUCCAUCUGUGCCCAAUGCAUGUUAAAGCUUUCUACCCAAACCAUACCCACGUGGAAGAACGAGAUCACCUCCACCUAGCCCAUGAUUGUUUUUUUAUUCUUUUCACAAAAUCACAUAAUUACUACUAGCUGAUUAAAGAGGCAUAUUGU
rnacentral:lncRNA from 1 species